UUGAUCUCUCCCUUUUGCUCUUUUUUGUAUUUUGAUGGUUCUUCAACCUUGGUGAAGCUUUGAAGUAAGGAUUGGAGCUUGUUUAAGAAAAGAUUUCUAACCCUAACACACUCCUAGCUUGGUUUGGAGCUUCAAAAGAGGUUGGAUUAGAAGUAUCCUAGUCUUCACUUGGAGUUUGAUGGGGUUCUACACCAUACAAGAGCCUUCCUCUUCGGAAGAGGUUAGGGACCGCGGUAAGGGGGUUGCCUCUAGCUAGUUAGCGAGGAGCUUGCUAUUAGGUAUAUGGCGGGUCUGGACACGCACCGGGCGGGCUUUCGCUGGGUCCCAGGACGUGACACCAGCCUAAUUCUUAAAAGAUUUGGGCUAAAUCUUUUAUUAUUUCGUAAUACUGAAACAUGUAAGUGAUAGUGCCUUAAGAUUCUUAUAUUUUUAUGUUGGGUUAAGAAAAGAUUAUUUGUAGGUGUGU